AUGCGCCGGUUAAAGGCCGGCGAGAAUGUGCUUACAAGGGUGAGGCAAGAGAAAAAUAACCUCCAAGAUGCCAACACCCAGCUGGGUGAGGAACUAAAGGAUGUUCGUGCCCAGCUGUCUGACUCCGUUAAGGAGAAUCGGCGGCUUCGAUGCGACAUUUUUAGUAUGCCCACAGGCCGUCCUGCAGAGGAAAUGCCCGGUUCUAUGGGUGACCUUCUUCCCGAGCUCUUGCAACUGCACGAACGAGUUCGGCAGGUGAUGAAAGGCGUCGCCCAGGCCUUGUGGCCGUCUGUCUCCCUGCCCGAAGGCCUUGGAGAGCUUGCGGAGAGGCUUCAGGGAGCGCGGCAGCGCUUCCGCUUAUGGAAGAUAUCGGCCUGCCGUCAAGGCGCCAGGGAGGCCUGGGCCAUGCUGAAGACGCGGUAUACGAAGGCUGACCCAAACCACAUGGCCAAGGUCGGACCUGCGGGGCCCGAUGGGAAGGAGAUCCCUGUGAGCUUAGUGUACGGCCAAGUAGAAUUGGCCGCAAAGUAUUCCCAAUAG
rnacentral:rRNA from 1 species